AGGAGGAAGGAGUGAGUGGCAGACACAACAUCUGAUGAACUGACUGCAACCCCCGCUCCCUGUCCCCCUGAGCUGGAAGGGGGAGGAGGUAGAGAAUAUGGGAGUAAAGUUGAGCCCAGGAAAAAGGGAGGGGUGGGAUAGUUCUGCUGACUAUUUUGUGAGUUCAGUAUUAUAGCAGCACUAGAUGCAAGCUUCAGCAAAUCUAUUUAAAAGGUAUUAUCUUGCAAGAUUUGAAAGACACUGACAGGAGACAGAUGAUGGAAUGACUUUCUUCUUUUGCCUGAGCAAAAAAACUUGCAUUGCUGCUCUGGUGUGCAAAUAAAUCACUAUCUCAAGUCCUGAGUGGUGUAAAAGCACAGAAGUGGCUUGAAACAACUCAUCAGUGACAUCCAAAUAGUCCUGUUUGUAA